CGUUCCCGGACCUUGUACACACCGCCCGUCAAGCCAUGGAAGUUGGGAGGACCUGAAGACAGUUGCUGUAAGGCGCUGCUUAGGGUUAAACCGAUGACUGGGGCU
rnacentral:rRNA from 1 species